rnacentral:piRNA from 2 species
UUAAGGAUGCCAAACCAUUGA